rnacentral:lncRNA from 1 species
UUUUAUUCCUCUGUUUUAUAAUAAGUCGACGGUCCAAAGAACCGUUGUGGGAUGCUCUGGUAAAGCGGAAUCCACGAUCCCACAUCUCGUGAGAAAGUGGGAUACGUUACCUCUUUUUCCGGUUAGAGGAGAGAGAGGGAAUUACGUGGGUCCAAUUUUCUCAUGUUAAAUAUAUUAUAUUUAGAUUAAAUUUUAAAUUAAAUCCUUCAAUUAUCAAUUAGAUUUAAAUCAAAUCUUAUAAAUUAAACUGAUUCCAACAUUCCUCCGCUUAAUUUAAAAUUCAAUUAAAAAAAACUUCUCAAACAUCGAAAACAUAUAAACAAUCAAAACCAUUAAUAAAUAUAAAAAAUUAAAAGCCAUCAAAAUUAGUUGAGAUCUUUAUACUUUGCAUUCGGCUAUAGGUACCUUUCAGUUUGAACCUUAGCUUAGUGUUGAUUGUAUACAUCCACGAGCAUUCGAUGGACUAGGCCUUGAAUCGGGCCGGUGAAACGGAUUUCUACAAAUCAUGCACACAGUACAGCCGGUUUCGUUCAUAGCAUAUGUGUGCUUUUAAUGGCCAUGCGCAUGUAUCGAAUCAUCUAUGUUCUAGGAAUUAGCCCAAAUUCCAUAGUCACAGCCUCACGACUCCAUACACUUAGGCUUAGUUUGGUAUUGAGGUCCAUCUAACGCUAUUAAAUAAAAUGGAGUUGGGGUAAAAGCAUAUAGGAUAUGCUUUUGCGUUCUCCGGUGUAACUGCAGAAAAUAUAUCGUAACUGACUUAUCGCGAUAUGCGGAACGCAAUAUUACGUAUGAAAAUAAAUAGGGUAUUUUUCCGACGUACUUUUUCAUAACACGUAACGCAAUCUCCCCGCAAUCUCCCCGCAAUCCUAAAUGAAGCCGUAGUAGGUCCUAAUAAGGGUGUAGGUAAGGUAACACCCUGCCUCAUGGGUCUCUGAACCAUUUAGAGCUUAGCUCUUCCUCAUCCCUUAUCUUUUGUAAUUUGAGCACUGUCGCCACAGGGAUAGGAAAAUAUAAAGUGGUGCUCAUCACAUUAGUUCAUACAUUCAGUUUGUUUCUACCCAUUACCAUUUAGGUAGGGUUCCCACCGCCAAUGACUUCUAUUGUGGGCUUACCCUCAUCCCCCUCGACAACUCUAGGACCAAUGCCCUAGAUAAACCUUUAGUCAGUUGAUCAGCAAUAUUCUUUAUGGAUCUCACAAAUGAUAGUAAUAUCAUUUUUGUUUAUUAACCCUCUAAUAUAUUUAUGUCUCAUUUUCAUAUGUCGACUCAUCUUUACUUUUGAAUUUUCUGUGCACAUUUAUCAAUAAUUGCUUUACAGUCAAUGUAUUGAUAUUGGUGGAAUUGGAUGUUCACCAAGUGGAAUAUGAUGUAGGAAUUCUCUUAGUCAUUUUGCCUCACUAACGGUAAGGUUAAGUGCAAUCAUUUCUGAUUCCAUAGUACUUCUAGCUAUUACUGUUUGUUUAGUUGAUUUCCACGAGAUUGCUGCACCACCUAAAAUAAAUACAUAUCCAGUUGUGGAGUUGACAUCUACGGUGUCACUGAUCCAAUUUGCAUUACUAUAGCCCUUUAAGACUGAAGCAUAACCACUAAAAUGUAAUGCAUAUGAAAGAGUGCCUCUGAUAUAAGCAAAUACUCUUUCAAGUGCCACGCAGUGCUCUCUACUUGGAUUAUAUAAUAUCUACUUAGCCUAUUUACAACAAAAACUAAAUCGGGUCUAGUAAAAUUAAUUGAAAAUCCCAAUGACCCUAUGAUUUGAGCAUAUCUAUCAAUACAAACGGGAUUAUCGGUAUUUUUCUUUAAGGGUGCGUUUGGUUCGCAUUUAUGAAAGAUUACUAGGAAUAAAAGAUAUCCGAGAAUCUUAUUCCUAUUCAUCCUAUUACUAAGAAUGUGGAAUUCCUGUAUUUGGUUCGCAUAGUAAUAUUAAUUAGCCAUGUUAUUUAAUAUUGCAAAAAAUAUACAAUUAAUUAAUUAAUUAGUUUAAUUAAUUUUAGAUAAUGUUACCAAAAGUUUCAACAUCUUUUUAGAAAAAAGGGAGAGAGAGUAUAAGUUAGAGAGAGAGCAUAAUUAAAAANAAUUUUGGAAAGAAGACAUAACAAAUGAAAUUCGACCAAUUAGAGAAAAUCAAAUUGGACUUUAAAUGAUUUACCUCCAGGAUGUAAACCAAUAAGUUGUCAAUCGAUAUCUAAAAAGAAAUUAAGACCAUAAGGUACUGUAGAGAAAUAUAAAACUAGUUUAGUAGCAGAGGGAUUUACCCAAAAAUCUGGAGUUGAUUAUUUUGACAUUUAUGCUCCAGUAGCUAGAACUACAACAAUUAGAACUCUAUUAGCUCUAGCAUCAAUUUAUAAAUUAAUUAAACAUCAAAUGGAUGUUAAAACCACAUUUUUAAAUAGAUAAUUAGAAGAAGAAAUCUAUAUGGUGCAGCCAAAAGGAUUUAUAAUGCCAGGCCAGGAAAAUAAAGUAUGCAAGUUAAGUUGAUCUUUAUAUGGCCUCAAGCAAGCUCCUAAACAAUGGCAUGAAAUGUUUGAUAACUUAAUAAUUUCAAAUGGAUUUGAAACUAAUAUGUCCGACGAAUGUGUUUAUAGUAAAAGAAUAAGGAUCACAUCCAUAUUAGUUCCAAAUAUUAAUAUAUCAUCAACAUAUAAGCACAUGAUUACAACUUGAUCCUUAUUCUUUUACUAUAAACACAUUCGUCGGACAUAUUAGUUUCAAAUCCAUUUGAAAUUAUUAAGUUAUCAAACAUUUCAUGCCAUUGUUUAGGAGCUUGCUUGAGGCCAUAUAAAGAUCAACUUAACUUGCAUACUUUAUUUUCCUGGCCUGGCAUUAUAAAUCCUUUUGGCUGCACCAUAUAGAUUUCUUCUUCUAAUUAUCUAUUUAAAAAUGUGGUUUUAACAUCCAUUUGAUGUUUAAUUAAUUUAUAAAUUGAUGCUAGAGCUAAUAGAGUUCUAAUUGUUGUAGUUCUAGCUACUGGAGCAUAAAUGUCAAAAUAAUCAACUCCAGAUUUUUGGGUAAAUCCCUCUGCUACUAAACUAGUUUUAUAUUUCUCUACAGUACCUUAUGGUCUUAAUUUCUUUUUAGAUAUCGAUUGACAACUUAUUGGUUUACAUCCUGGAGGUAAAUCAUUUAAAGUCCAAUUUGAUUUUCUCUAAUUGGUCGAAUUUCAUUUGUUAUGUCUUCUUUCCAAAAUUCAGUAUCUAUGGAUUUCAUUGCUUCUUCACAAGUUGUAGGUGUCUCUUCUAAUAGCAAUAUAUAGAAGUCUUCUCCAUAAUAUUUAGGUAUUCUUGCUCUUUUAUUUUUUCUAGGCUCACGUUCUUCAUCUACAUUUUGAUCUCUAGGUCUAAUUCUUGUAUUUGAAAUUUGAUUAUUUGUCUGUAUAUUAUUAUUUAUAUUAAUUUUAUAUGAAAAUUUAUCUUCAAAGUAAAUUGCAUCUCUAGACUCUAUAAUUGUAUUAUUUUAUAUUUCACUUAUUUCAGAAUUAAUUACUAAAAAUCUAUUUGCAUUGCUAUUUGUUGCAUAUCCUACAAAAAAUGCAUCAACUGUUUUAGGUCUUAUUUUGUUUCUUUUAAUUUCAGGUAUUUUUACUUUUGCUAAACACCUCCACACUUUAAGAAAAUUUAAAUUAGGUUUUUUAUUUUUCCAUAGCUCAUAUGGCGUUUUAUUAGUAUAUUUUAGAGGGACUCUCUUUAAAAUUAUAGAGGUAGAAAUUAAUGCUCCUUCCCACAAAUUUUCAGGUACAUCUGAAUUUAAUAUCAUUGAAUUUACCAUAUCCAUUAAAGUUCUAUUUUUCCUUUCAGCUACCCCAUUUGAUUGAGGUGAAUAUGGAGCAGUUACCAUAUGUAUGAUGCCAUGCUCUUGGCAAAAUGAUGUGACAUCAUUAGAUGUGUACUCUCCUCCUUGAUAGGAUCUGAAAUUUUAUUUUAUUGUGUUUGAUUUUCAGCUUCAGCUUUAUAUACUUUAAAUUUAUUUAAUAAUUCAUUCUUAGUUUUCAUUAAAUAUACAUAACAAUAUUUGGAAAAGUUAUCUAUAAAUGUUACAAAAUAUUUAUUUCCUCCUCGAGAUACUCGACUUGUAUCACAUACAUUGCUAUGAACCAAUCGAGUAAAUCAGAGUCUAUCUACGCUUUUGAAGGGUUGUCGAGGAAGUUUAGCUUGUACACAUAUUUGACAUAUUUUCUUAUUUAUUUCUACUUGUGGAAUUAAAUUUAAUUUCAUCAUAUUACUUAAUGAUUUAAAAUUUAUAUGUCCAAGUCUGGGAUGCCAAAUUUGGGAAGAGCACUCAACAUUCAAAACAUGAGAAUUUGUAUUUACAUGCGGAGAAAUUUACAUUCAACUUAAACAAACCAUUACAUAAAAAUUCUUUUCCUACAAAAUGUAUUCCUAAUUACAAGUUUAUUACAUUCAAAAACUAAUUUAAAACCUCUCUGUACAAGUAGGGAUCCAUUUAUUAGGUUUCUUCUAAUCUUCGACACAUGAUAGACAUUGUGAAGGGUCAAAGUCUUGCCAGAAGACAACUUCAAACCCACUCGACCAAUUCCCAACAUGUUUGCUGUAGCGUAUGUGCCCAAAGUCACAGUUCCUCCACUUGAGACCUGAUAGAUGGAAAACCAAGAGCGAUCAACACACACAUGCACAUUAGCCCCGGUGUCAAUCCACCAGUCAUUAGCAUCUAAGGUCAUAUUAUUUCGAAAAAAAAGAAAGAAACCUGGAUGACGUCUCAGUGGUACUGGGUCCAACAGUCAGCAUAUUAACUUGAGGCUGCCCAGUAUUUGAUGUUCUUCGUUUUGAUGCUGGGGGAGACGUCUUCUUGUAGAAACAGUUCUUGGCGAUAUGGUUCGUCCUGCCACACACGUAGUAGCACCGACCCCUACUAUUCCUCUCAGCGCGAGUUCUUUUUUUAUUAUUAUUAUUAUUAUUAUUAUUCCUAAUAUUAUUGUUAUUAUUAUAAUUGAAUCACCUUUUAUUAAAUGUUCUCUUUUUAUUGAAAUUAUUUCUAUUUUGAUUUUUCCUUAAUUUGGUAUUUUCUUCCAAAUUAUUUAUCACAGAUUGUUUUUCUUCUUUUUUAUCUUUUGUUCUAUUUUUCUCCUCAACCCUAAUAGAGUUUAGGACAUAAUUCAAAGUUAAUUCACCUUGAAUAUGGUUUAGGUUGUAGAGGUGAGUUGACCAAGAUAGUGGUAAUUUAUCAAUUAGACUAGCUACAACGUAAUUUUCAUCUAAGGUCACGUCACUAGACCUAAGUUGUUCUACUAUUAAUUCAAAUUCAUUUAACUGAUCAAUUAUGGAUUUAUUUUCUACCAUUCUUUAUAAAAUCAUAAGCUUUAAAUCUUUUUUGUCUAGGAUCUGAUUGACCAUAUUUAGCAUCUAAGAUUUUCCAUAUUUCUUUGGCUGAAGUAAUAUGACAAUAUAUGUCAUAUAAUUUUUCACUUAAAGCACUUAAUAUUUUGUUCUGACAGCAGUGUUUAAAAAGAUGCGAGGCGCGGAGAGUCACAAGACACUUCUGGAGACUAGGCGCGAGGCGCACUGCGGAGCGCGCGCCUCAAGAAGGCGAGGCGCACUUUUACUAAGCCUAAUUUAAUUUAAUGUUCUAUAUUAAAAAAAUCUCAAAAUAACCAUCAAAAAGUAAAGAAAACGCAUGCAUAUAGUUUAAUUUGAUGUUCUUGUUGACGUUGCUACUGCUUCUUGUUUUCCUCCUGCUGCUGUUGCUGGUUGCUUAUUUUGGCCAUCGCUGGUUUGCUGCCACUGCUUCCUGCUUCUAGCAUAGUUGCUGUUGGAUGCUCAACAGAGAGAGGAUGUGGGAGAACAAGAAAAGGAGAGGAAGGUGCGAGCAGCUGAUUUUUUUAGGGAAUUUUUGGGUUUCUUUCAAGAUUUUUUUAAGUAUCUUAUCGGGUUUAAAGUAUAAAAUGCAAAUUCAAAACCCGAUAAUCCAAAAACUUGAAUUUUUUUAGAUUUUUUUUAAUAUUUUUUAAGUAUCUUAUUGGGUUAAAGUAUAAUAUGCAAAUUCAAAAUCCGACAAUUCGAAAACUUGAAUAAAAACUCCUUGAAAACUUAAUUAUUGCGAGGCGCGCACCUGAGACGCGCCUCUCGUCUCACCUGACGUGGGCGCCUCAGGCAUGCCUUUUCAAACAAUGUCUGACAGUGAUAAUUAGUUGUGUCAGAAGAGGGGAGAGGUGUGGAUGGUGUGGCCACUGUAGUGGGAGAGACUACUGGUGUACUUCUUUGAACCCCAACGGUGAUUUACAGCAGAGGUGUCUUAGUAUGACCUAGAUUCGAGGUCAUCUCGGUUGGAUCAGAAAUAGCUAAGAUUAAUCCCAAAGUGGUGAGCCAGAAUUGCAUUUGAUUCUGCUAUCGACGGAAAUUUGUUCCAUCAAAUGGUUUUGAUUUUGCAGAUGUAGCAUCAUCCAUGCUAUAAUAAAUAAAUAGAGCUAAUAAAUAUUACGACUCUACUGCAAAAAUAAAACUAUAAAUUUACAACAGUUCCAAAAGAGAAAGCACUAAUCAUGAAAUUAAUGCUAAUAAUAAAAACUAGCAAUCAGCAAAAAUAAAAGGCUAUCGAUCUAUUAAUUGUUUUAUAGAAAAUAAUUAAAAUAAUUAAUUAAAUCUCGGAAGCCCAAACUGCAGCAAACUCUUUGUAGGAAACCACACUUUUUUUUUUUUUAUAUUUGGUUCCCUUUUUUUUAUACUUUUUUUUUUUCUCAAAAACAGGAAAAGAUUUAAAUUGUUAUCUUCAAGCCACAAGUCCAAGGUUGGGAUUUAGAUAAAUUAAUUCUAAAAACAGGAUUUUUGUCGCACAACUGCUUUUUUUAAUAAGAAAUAUACAAUUUUUUUUUCUUUUUUUUUUCACUACAGAUAAUAACUAAUCUAGAAUUAACUCUAAUAUCAACAAAUCUAUAUUCUCUAUUUUAAUUAGGUUUAAAAGCAAAAUCUAGAUUGAUCUCUAAUAUAUAUGUAUAAUGUAUAAUAUACUCUGCCUUCUUAUGUUCCGAUUAAAUAUUAUACUCCAAUAUAUAAUAUUAGAGUAUAAUAUGUUAGAGUAUAAUAUUAGAGUAUAAUAUAUAAUAUUAGAGUAUUAUACUCUAAUAUAUAAUAUUAGAUUGAUCUCUAAUAUAUAUGUAUAAUAUACUCUGCGUUCUUAUGUUCCGAUUAAAUAUUAUACUCUACCUAAUUAUGUUUCAAUUGAAUAAUUACCCUAAUCCUGAUAAAUAAAAUUGAAAUAAAAUCAUGAGAAAUUGAUAAAUAAAUUUUAUCAAAUUCCAGAUAAAGUUACUCUAGAUUGUUGGGAUAAAUUCUAGAAUUUGAUUUGAUUUCAUAUAUUUUUGAUUAAAUCUACUGACAAAUAAAUAUUAAAUUAAAGACAACUAAAUUGAAAGAAAAAAAGGGUUUUGGGAAAUAGCCUGGUAAGGCGUGUGAUGCACUAUCCUAGAGUAACUUUAGCCUCUCCAUUUGCGAGUCUCUGGCUAGUUGCUCUAGCGAUACAACACUCAGAUUAUCCUGAUCUCUUUGAUUGCACUGUCUCAAAGGAGUGCUUGAUUGAACAUCAAUUUGGCUCUCAAAAUCUCAACUUUACAAAAUUAACUAAGAUAGAGUAGAGAAAGGACGAACGAAAGGAGAAAAUCUGUUAGUUAGAAUCUUAUAUCUAUCUCUUUUUUUAUUCCUCUAUUUUAUAAUAGGCUAAAUUAUAGAAAACCUCCAUCAAAACCCGAUUUUUUACUUUCUCUCCAUAGCAUUUAAAAACCAACAUUUUGCCUCUUUAAAAAUGAAAUUAUUCACAGAGGGGUACGGUGUUAACUGUGAUGAUAAAAUGACCAAAUUGCUCCUCACCUUCUUCGUCUCCUCCCCAAUCCUGCUCAUCUGCAACCUCUCCUCCUCUGUCUUUCGCGCCUCCCUUGACUCCGACUCCGACUCCGACUUCGUUUCCUUUACUUGCUUCCCGCUUCUCCUGCACCCUCGCCGCCUUUCCAUUUCGGCAACGGUAGGGAGGAGAUUAGGGUGGUGUGGACUGAGAGAUGGGCGAGGUAGUGGAGGAGGGCGAGGACGUGUGUGUGGGCAUGGACGAAGGGGUAGAUGAGGGCGAGGCGGCGGAGGAGGGCGAGGCGGCGCGGUCGAGGACAUCGGUGAGAAGAGAGGAGGCGCAUUUGAGAUGAGGGUUUUAAGGGUAUUUUGGGUAUAAAAAAUAUAUAAUAAUAGGAUAUAAACGAAUUUCUAACGGAGCACUGACGACGGGAGUCGAAGUGAGCAUUUUUUAUUUUUUAAGGGGGCAAAGUGUAGUUUUUUAAAUAAG